CACAGCUUCACUGCAGCCAGCGUGGAGCAGGAUGCUGACAGCAGAGUGGCUCCAGUGAGCUGCCAUUCCAGAUGUCAGGAACAAGCUCACAGACUGAGUGAAGCCGAGAAGGAUUGCAAACACCAGUGAGAAAGGGCUGGGAGACAACAGUGACGGAGAAGAGGAGCAGGCUUUCAGGCGAUAAGGUGGCUGUGAACUGGUUACAGUUUCCUGAGAUCAACUGCGGUCUGAAAAUCGAAGUCUUCAAUCAACACAACUGAGCUGAGACUCCUCUAGAAGAGAGCUAUCAGGGUCCUGACAGACAGCUGGUGAGGUGCAGAAUGACAUGAGUGAGGGGCUUGGCGCUGACGUGAAGGUUGAGGAGGCAGUCACCGGAACCCCACGCAGGCUAGAGCUGUGACCGACAGAAACGACGAUGUGUGUUCCUAGAGGCUUAGGCAGUGCCAGAGAAAUCACUCAGUGCCAGCUGGCUCCUGCAUGAAUGCUUCUCUAGACAAGCUGACCUUUGCUACUUAGUAGGGUGUACGUUGCCUCUAAGCCCAUUUCCAAUUUACUGACACCUGGUGGAUUUUUAUUCACCACUGAGCUCUGGCCCGAAGAGAGCUGCCAAACGUCCUAGGCCAUCCAUUCACUCAGCACUUAUAAUCGUGAUAGUCACCACCCAUGAAAGCUUUAGGACCUGUUUCAGGUAAGAGCACUAACUUUUGGGACAGAGCCUACCAGUGUUCAAAUUUUGCUUUGAUGGCUACUAAAUAGCUACAGUUUGGAAGCUCUUGAGCUUCCUCUGGUCCCCCUUCCUAGCCUGUAGAAGAGGAUAUUGCUAAAGGGCUAUUGUAGGUAAAAUGAAAUGGGAUCAGGGUUGCAAAUGCCGUUUUUUACUGUUGCAGUGUUUCUGCAUCGUGUCGCCUGAGGGCUUUCUUCUGUGACCAGAAACUGCUCUGCCCCCAAGCAGCACUGGCCUGGAACUGGAGAAUUAAAGACCUCCCUAAUCCCACACGCAAACUUUGAUGUGAUUGGCAUAUAAGUAUCUUAGCACCCUAGUAUCAUGAGUUACAUGGCGCUGAGGCACAUAUUCCACGCUGGGCCCAGCACUUCCCAGAGGGACUGAGUCCCAGGGUGGCAUCUCACUUGGUGAUGUGCCUUGUACUGGUUACCUUCCCUUCCCAUGUCAGCUCACUCUUCUACUGGCGUGUGCUGGAAUCACCUCCCAAACCAACUAUUUAAAUCUUUGCUUCUGGAGAGACCCCAACUAAAAUAAUAUGUAUUUGCUCUAAGUAGUUUGAUACAGAGCAGAUAAUGAAAAACAGGAGCUGACAAUUAUAAAGUGGAAUUCUUGAGCAAGUGGUAAGCUCCAUUUCUUAGCCUUCUACACCCUCCUCCUCACAACACCAGAGUCAAGAAUUCCUGUCUCCUAAGGAAAUGUCUCUUAUGGCUUGGGUGGAUGCUGUUGUAGGGGUAUGAAACAAGCCAGUUCCCUUAGCCAGUGAGUAUGCACUGGCUGUUUAGAAUGUGCCCAACAGGCGCCAGCCUCUGGAGAGGUCAUUAAUAGCCUCGGGCAUGGUCCCUGCCUCAAGUUGGAGAGUUAGGGCUCAUGAAGUAAGGAGCAAUACAUUUCCAGCCCGUGCUGUUUGACAGCAGUACUUUUCAACACUCGGCCACAUGUGCUGAAGCCUGCUGGUGUCUGCCCAGGUCCCCUCGACUGGAGGGGACCCUGUGCCCCCUCUAGAGCAUUGAUGAGUAACUCACAGCUGUCUCUCCAGAGAGUCAUCCUUGGCCAAACCUUCAUGUGGGCAGCUACCACCCACCACACCAGCCCCUCUUCCAGAUCAGACCUCAGCAAACCUGACUGGCCUAGGGAUACAGAAGACCAGCCUCUUGCGUCCACGUGGGACCAAGUCUGCAGUGUGACUUGUGCUCCAGAACUCUCCCACAGGCUCAGCCUGAAGUCAGGCUCCAGCGAAGCCCAUCCCUGCCUGGCUUCUCUCCACAGUCCUAUUCUGCUGCCCUGACUCCUCUUCCCUAAGGGCUAUUGCCCAGCGAAGCCCAUGGUCUCAGACUGGGCUUCAAAGAAACCUGACUCCAUGUUAGCAUCUUCUGCGGAGUUUUAUAAAAACACAUACACCUGAACUUAACCACCUAGACUUACUGAGCCAGAAGCUAUAGAGCUUCAAGAGUGGGAACCAGACAACUGUAUGCUUUAAAGCCUAAUAGAUAUUUCUAAUUCACCAGUUUAUCUCUCAACUUUUCAUUUUGAAAAUGCCAAACUUACAGAAAUAAUGAAAGUAUAAUGUAGUGAUAAAUAUCUACAUACUCAGCAUCUAGAUAUACCAAUUAUUAAUAUUUUGCUCCAUUUUCCUCUCUCUCUCUCACAUAUCAAAAAUAAUUUGCAAGUAAAUUGUAGACAUUAUGACACUUUAUCCUUCAGUUCUUCAGCAGAUAUUAUCCAAGAAUAAAGACAUUCUCCUACAUAACCCCAGUGUCAUAAUCACCCACAGGAAAUUAAUACUAACUUGUUAACAUCCCCAGAGCAUACAGUCCAUAGUUAAGAUGUACCCUCUGUUUUAGGCCAAAGGUGGCAAUUUUCUCAACUUUAGACUCAACAGAAGUUUGGAGAAGGGAAAAAUCUGUAUGAGUUGAAUAGAAAGGAAAAUACUUCAUGGAGGAAAGAGGAUAAGAAUUGGGCUGUGAAGGAUUGACAUUAGAAAGAAGGGGUGGAGCAAAUGCUCAGAUAGAAGCAGGUAAAUACCUAUGCAAACAUGCAGACAUGGGCAUUGGAAUUGCCUUUUGUGGGAGGAGAAGACUGAGCAGAAUUUGUGGACUAGGAUAGGUAGGCUGUGCAGCUGGACAGGCCUCAUGCAAUCUGAGUACAGAGAAAUUGCCAAUCCAAGCAAUCAAAAAAACAGUGGCCACACACCAAGAAACGUUAAAGGUGACUGCACUUAGGAGAGUGGCAUCAGAUUUGUGGGACACAUUCAGGUGAAUUCUAGUCAGGACCAUGGCAAAGCAUUUGGGGUCAGAAUUAAACUGGGGAGUUAAUUACUGAUUGAAAUUCAUUUAUUCAUAUAUUCGUUCUACCAGCAUUUUCUGAGUACAUAUUAUGUGCCAAAAUACCAAUGUGAACACAGGA
rnacentral:lncRNA from 1 species